rnacentral:rRNA from 1 species
GAUGAACGCUGGCGGCGUGCCUAAUACAUGCAAGUCGAGCGUACAGAUGAGGAGCUUGCUCCUCUGACGUUAGCGGCGGACGGGUGAGUAACACGUGGAUAACCUACCUAUAAGACUGGGAUAACUUCGGGAAACCGGAGCUAAUACCGGAUAAUAUAUUGAACCGCAUGGUUCAAUAGUGAAAGACGGUUUUGCUGUCACUUAUAGAUGGAUCCGCGCCGCAUUAGCUAGUUGGUAAGGUAACGGCUUACCAAGGCAACGAUGCGUAGCCGACCUGAGAGGGUGAUCGGCCACACUGGAACUGAGACACGGUCCAGACUCCUACGGGAGGCAGCAGUAGGGAAUCUUCCGCAAUGGGCGAAAGCCUGACGGAGCAACGCCGCGUGAGUGAUGAAGGUCUUCGGAUCGUAAAACUCUGUUAUUAGGGAAGAACAAAUGUGUAAGUAACUAUGCACGUCUUGACGGUACCUAAUCAGAAAGCCACGGCUAACUACGUG